AGGGCGAAAGCUGAAAAGCCAUAACAGAGUAAGCA
rfam:Pedobacter africanus strain DSM 12126 genome assembly, contig: Ga0070588_101